AAUGAUUGUGACAAAAUUAACAAAAAACAAAAACAACAACAGAACAGCUCGGAAGGACAGGAGACCAAAUUUUCGAAAAACUUAUUAAUAAAAUGGAUUUAGUGCCAGAAAACUCCUCCAGUGCAAACAAGAGAACAACAGGAGGCGGCAGGGUGAAAUGGAGUGCCGCGCUUGAGAGCCUGCUGAUUGACAUAUGGAAGGAGAAAAUUAAAGAUUUGCGCGGACUACGCAAAAAUUCACAUGUGUAAAUUAAGUUGUCCGUAUGUCCAAGUAGCCUUAGCUGCUUGAUGCGGUGGUCCUCGUGCGGGUUCCGUGGUAAAGAAUCCUUUAUGAAGAUUAUGUUGGAGAGAUAACUGUCUCUCUUAUCACUGGCCUUGUGGUACAGUGGUAUAGAAUUAAUAAUUCAAAGUGUUUACGGCUGGUUGCCGGAGCAAGGGUUAUUAACAAGCGGUAGCUUUCGUUAUAAGAACAGAACUAAAACUAGGAGCCACCAGCAAGCUGGGGCAUAAGCUGAAUCAAAAGUAUUUAAUUGCCAAAGAAUGCAAAGCUACAAAAUAUAUGUAUUUGGAGCUGCAAAGCUACAGUCGGUAAGCCGACUUGGCAUAAGCGAUAAUGCUGAUCUUGCGGCAUGUGCAAGAUAUCAGAUUACCGCCGGUUGACCGUCACAUUCAGGGCGCUGAACUGAAGUUCGCUGAUUUGGCAUCUUGAGUGCAAACAACAUGGAGCAGAGCACAUUGGACAACGACAGUAAGUUUUAUUAAUUUAUUGCUAAAAAAAUAUAUUUCAUUUAAGGUGUUCAUUGCAGAUCCUGAUGAGUACUUUUCGGAUAUUAUUGAGAUGGACCUGGACGGAUCUUGUAGCUCCAGCACCUUGUCUGGGCGUCCGCCAAAGAAAAAGAAAAAGACCGACAUUUCGUGGCUGGCAGAGAUCGCCCAGGAGCCUCUUGAACAACAAAAGGACCACCACAGAAAGAAGGAGGAGCACGACGUUAGGCAGGAGAAGAUGGUGCAGGACUUGAUCAGCACCCAAACAAAAUUCCAGAACGACUUAUUAGAAGUUUUAAAAAAUAAAAAUAAAUAAGUUUUUAAUUUUCA